AUGUCGGAAUCCUACAAAGCACAACUAUGGGAGAGGACGACUGAUUUUGACGGUGUUGCUGGGUGGAUGCCGGGACAGACUAUCGAGUUGCGCAGGCUUCUCCCUCUGAAAUCAGGGGAGUGGAUCAAAAGAGUAAUGUUUAUUGCUGGGGAUGAAUCUGAUAAUGUGGCAUUUCUGUCAACAUCUAGGGGCAUCUUCAUGGUCCAUCUCGAGUCAUUGCAGUUUGAGGAGAUCUUUAAAAGCAACCCUGAUAAUCGGCUGUCCACUAUCUAUCCAUAUCCAUUCAAAAGUUUCUUUGCUGCUGCUGCUGCAGGACUGAGUAAUCUUGAUGAGCGGGGACAAGGUGAAGGUCGAGCAGGCGGCACAAUGCAUCAAUGA
rnacentral:rRNA from 1 species